AUUGAACGCUGGCGGCAUGCUUUACACAUGCAAGUCGAACGGUAACAGGCCUUCGGGUGCUGACGAGUGGCGAACGGGUGAGUAAUGCAUCGGAACGUGCCCAGAGGUGGAGGAUAACGCAGCGAAAGCUGUGCUAAUACCGCAUGUGAUCUGAGGAUGAAAGCGGGGGACCAGGCAGCAAUGUUUGGCCUCGCGCCUUUGGAGCGGCCGAUGUCAGAUUAGGUAGUUGGUGGGGUAAAGGCCUACCAAGCCGACGAUCUGUAGCUGGUCUGAGAGGACGACCAGCCACACUGGGACUGAGACACGGCCCAGACUCCUACGGGAGGCAGCAGUGGGGAAUUUUGGACAAUGGGCGCAAGCCUGAUCCAGCAAUGCCGCGUGCGGGAAGAAGGCCUUCGGGUUGUAAACCGCUUUUGUACGGAACGAAAAGGCUCUGGCUAAUACCUGGGGCUGAUGACGGUACCGUAAGAAUAAGCACCGGCUAACUACGUG
rnacentral:rRNA from 1 species